GACGAACGCUGGCGGCGUGCCUAAUACAUGCAAGUAGAACGCUGAAGGAGGAGCUUGCUUCUCUGGAUGAGUUGCGAACGGGUGAGUAACGCGUAGGUAACCUGCCUGGUAGCGGGGGAUAACUAUUGGAAACGAUAGCUAAUACCGCAUAAUAGUAGAUGUUGCAUGACAUUUGCUUAAAAGGUGCAAUUGCAUCACUACCAGAUGGUCCUGCGGUGUAUUAGCUAGUUGGUGGGGUAACGGCUCACCAAGGCGACGAUACAUAGUCGACCCGAGAGGGUGGUCCGCCACCCUUGGACUGAGACACGGCCCAGACUCCUACGGGAGGGAGCAGGAGGGGAAUCUCGGGAAUGGGCGGAAGGCUGAACGAGGAACGCCGGGUGAGGUAAGAAGGUUCUCGGGUCGUAAAGAUCUGUUGUAUGGGAAGAAAGAGAGUUAGAGUGGAAAGUUCACACUGUGACGGUAUCUUACCAGAAAGCGACGGCUAACUACGUG
rnacentral:rRNA from 1 species